GAUCUGGCUCAGGAUGAACGCUAGCUACAGGCUUAACACAUGCAAGUCGAGGGGCAGCAUGGGAGUUGCUUGCAAUCCUGAUGGCGACCGGCGCACGGGUGAGUAACGCGUAUCCAACCUUCCCCUUAGUAGGGCAUAGCCCGGUGAAAAUCGGAUUAACACCCUAUGUUCUUCACAGCAGACAUCUAACGUGAAGCAAAGGUUCACCGCUAAGGGAUGGGGAUGCGUCUGAUUAGGUAGUAGGCGGGGUAACGGCCCACCUAGCCUUCGAUCAGUAGGGGUUCUGAGAGGAAGGUCCCCCACAUUGGAACUGAGACACGGUCCAAACUCCUACGGGAGGCAGCAGUGAGGAAUAUUGGUCAAUGGGCGAGAGCCUGAACCAGCCAAGUAGCGUGCAAGGAUGACGGCCCUAUGGGUUGUAAACUGCUUUUAUAUGGGGAUAAAGUUCACCACGUGUGGUGUUUUGUAGGUACCAUAUGAAUAAGGACCGGCUAAUUCCGUGCCAGCAGCAGC
rnacentral:rRNA from 1 species